rnacentral:rRNA from 1 species
AAUAUUGGACAAUGGGGGCAACCCUGAUCCAGCCAUGCCGCGUGUGUGAAGAAGGUCGUCGGAUUGUAAAGCACUUUAAGUUGGGAGGAAGGGCUUUAGGUUAAUACCCUGAAGUUUUGACGUUACCAACAGAAUAAGCACCGGCUAACUCUGUGUGAGCAGCCGCGGUAAUACAGAGGGUGCAAGCGUUAAUCGGAAUGACUUGGCGUAAAGCGCGCGUAGUUGGUUCAGUAAGAUAGGUGUAAAAUCCCCGGGCUUAACCUGGUAACUGCUUUCAUAACUGCUGAGCUAGAGUACGGUAGAGGGUAGUGGAAUUUCCUGUGUAGCGGUGAAAUGCGUAGAUAUAGGAAGGAACACCAGUGGCGAAGGCGACUACCUGGACUGAUACUGACACUGAGGUGCGAAAGCGUGGGGAGCAAAC